AGAGUUUGAUCCUGGCUCAGAUUGAACGCUAGCGGGAUGCUUUACACAUGCAAGUCGGACGGCAGCGCGGACUUCGGUCUGGCGGCGAGUGGCGAACGGGUGAGUAAUGUAUCGGAACGUGCCCAGUAGCGGGGGAUAACCACUCGAAAGAGUGGCUAAUACCGCAUACGCCCUACGGGGGAAAGCGGGGGACCUUCGGGCCUCGCACUAUUGGAGCGGCCGAUAUCGGAUUAGCUAGUUGGUGGGGUAAAGGCCUACCAAGGCGACGAUCCGUAGCUGGUUUGAGAGGACGACCAGCCACACUGGGACUGAGACACGGCCCAGACUCCUACGGGAGGCAGCAGUGGGGAAUUUUGGACAAUGGGGGCAACCCUGAUCCAGCCAUCCCGCGUGUGCGAUGAAGGCCUUCGGGUUGUAAAGCACUUUUGGCAGGGAAGAAAAGGCUCUGGCUAAUACCUGGAGCUGCUGACGGUACCUGCAGAAUAAGCACCGGCUAACUACGUGCCAGCAGCCGCGGUAAU
rnacentral:rRNA from 1 species